GAUGAACGCUGACAGAAUGCUUAACACAUGCAAGUCGAUGGGGAAGUGGUGCUUGCACCGUGGCAACCAUGGCGGACGGGUGAGUAACGCGUAAGGGACUUACCUGCAGGACUGGGAUAACAGGGGGAAACUCCUGACAAGACCGGAUAAUGUCAUGGAGCUGCAUGGCUUUAUGAUGAAAGGAGACGCCUGCGGAGAGCCUUGCGUCCUAUUAGCUAGUUGGUGAGGUAAUGGCUCACCAAGGCGAAGAUAGGUAGCCGGCCUGAGAGGGUGGACGGCCACAAGGGGACUGAGAUACGGCCCUUACUCCUACGGGAGGCAGCAGUGGGGAAUAUUGGACAAUGGGGGCAACCCUGAUCCAGCAAUUCUGUGUGCACGAAGAAGGUUUUCGGAGUGUAAAGUGCUUUCAGCAGGGAAGAAGUAAGUGACGGUACCUGCAGAAGAAGCGACGGCUAAAUACGUG
rnacentral:rRNA from 1 species